rnacentral:rRNA from 1 species
CAGUCGCCGCGGUAAUACGGGGGGGGCAAGUGUUAUUCGGAAUGACUGGGCGUAAAGGGCACGUAGGCGGUGAAAAGGGUGGAAAGUGAAAGUCGCCAAAACACUGGCGGGGUGCUUUCUUGACCAUUUCACUUGAGUGAGAUAGGGGAGAGUGGAAUUUCGUGUGGAGGGAUCAAAUCCUAAGAUAUACGAAGGAACGCCAACCGCGAAGGCAGCUCUCUGGGUCCCCACUGACGCUGGGGUGCGAAAGCAUGGGGAGCAAACAGGAUCAGAUACCCCGGUAGUCCCUGUCUCUUAUACA